rnacentral:rRNA from 1 species
UACGGUGGGGGCAAGCGUUGUUCGGAAUUACUGGGUGUAAAGGGCUCGUAGGUGGCCAACUAAGUCAGACGUGAAAUCCCUCGGCUUAACCGGGGAACUGCGUCUGAUACUGGAUGGCUUGAGUUUGGGAGAGGGAUGCGGAAUUCCAGGUGUAGCGGUGAAAUGCGUAGAUAUCUGGAGGAACACCGGUGGCGAAGGCGGCAUCCUGGACCAACACUGACACUGAGGAGCGAAAGCCAGGGGAGCAAACGGG